GCACCUCGAGGGGUAACAGGAAAGCUUGCUUUUGCUGACGACCGGCGCACGGGUGCGUAACGCGUAUGCAACCUACCUCAUACUGGAGGAUAGCCCCUGGAAACGGGGAUUAAUACUCCAUAGUAUCACGAAUUCGCAUGUUUUUGUGAUUAAAGUUUUUCGGUAUGAGAUGGGCAUGCGUCCCAUUAGCUUGUUGGUGAGGUAACGGCUCACCAAGGCAACGAUGGGUAGGGGGCCUGAGAGGGUGGUCCCCCACACUGGUACUGAGACACGGACCAGACUCCUACGGGAGGCAGCAGUGAGGAAUAUUGGUCAAUGGAGGCAACUCUGAACCAGCCAUGCCGCGUGAAGGAUGACGGCCCUAUGGGUUGUAAACUUCUUUUAUAGAGGAAGAAACUUGUCUACGUGUAGACAACUGACGGUACUCUACGAAUAAGGAUCGGCUAACUCCGUGCCAGCAGCCGCGGUAAUACGGAGGAUCCAAGCGUUAUCCGGAUUCAUUGGGUUUAAAGGGUCCGUAGGCGGGUCUUUAAGUCAGUGGUGAAAGCCGACAGCUCAACUGUCGAACUGCCAUUGAUACUGGAGACCUUGAGUACAAAUGAAGUAGGCGGAAUGAGUCAUGUAGCGGUGAAAUGCAUAGAUAUGACUCAGACNCUNANGGACA
rnacentral:rRNA from 1 species